GCGGGUUUGAACAGGGAGCUACAACAAGCUGAGUCAGAGACCAGUGGGUGGCAAAGAGUCCUAGAUUGGAGGCUGCAGAAAGUCAUGUGGACCUGGUCGAGACAGGAUGCUGAGUGCCGGGAACUGGCCCUGGAAGUCUUCCCUGAAGUCUGGGGAGGCUAAAUUUCCCCCUCGAUGCUCCCAGCGCCCCCACAGAGAAUCUCAUCAUGUCCAGGCGAGGA